rnacentral:RNase_P_RNA from 1 species
GUAAGUAAUCAAUCGCAGUUUAGAUUCUAAAUUGAGGAAGUUCCGUGCUUGCACAAACUGUGAUGUUUGUAGUGUUUUUGCUAGAACAAUAAACGAAGCUAGGCAUUUUUACUUAAUGACGGCCUUUGAAUAACCUAAAGGAUUUCAUCCCAUGGUUAGGAUGGAUAAAGUGCCACAGAGACGAGUUGAUAAGAAAUUAUCAAGUGAAACGCGGUAAACCCCAAAAGCAAGAAACCUAAAUUAUGGUAAGGGAGCGAGUUAUUAACGAAAACGAAGUUAAUACUUGAUGUUUUAAUAAAACAUAGAUAAAUGAUUGAUAAUUAAAUAUUUUUUACUAUAUAGUAAUAUUUAAUACAGAACACGGGCUAUGCU